AAGGUACUUUAUUCGUAGCGACCCCAUGUUCGGAUUUGUAUUUAAAAAUUCACGUAAAAUUUUUGCUCAAGUAUUUGAGUAUAUCUGUCGCUGAUUACUGAAGGAAGGAGAGUGGUUCCCUCAAAGAUGACAGAACAGAUGGAUGCCGACAAGGUCUGGGAUCAGUGUAUAAGCAGUGGCCGACAGUCAUGACUGGGAUCUAUUGCAUUGUUGCUGAAAUCUUAGGAGUGCCGAAUAUUAAUGCUGAAUAGUGGAGAUUCUAGACUGGGUGGGGUAGUGUUUGUUGGCAGCUGUGAAUUAGCAUUGGAGGUGGAUGGUAGCUGAGGCACUUGGAAGAAAGAAAAAUGGGGGAAAGUAAAAAGAGAGGUAAAGCGAACACCAUUCGGGCUGGGCGGAGGUUGGGCCAGGUCAUGAUUUGGAAUUUUGGACGAUGUAUGUCUUAUCUUGUUAUUUGAUUAUACUAAGUAUGAUUGAUAGCUGAUAGUUUCUGUACCAAAAAUUUUGAAAUUGCCCAUCCUUGAUCUUAUUGAUUUUCUUA